GAAGUACCAAAUGCUAAAUAACCAAACUUCCUUUACGAGUUAGGUCUUUCCCAAAUUUGUAUGAAUUAGGGUUUUGUGAAAAACAACUGCGUCUUCGAAAUUCUGCAACACACGAAGGAAAAAUGUCUAAGAAGAACGAUCUCGCAAAGAGAAAGAGGCAGCACGAAUUCGAACUCCGAAGAGAAAAACUCGAGAAGGAGAAGAAAGAUAAGAAACUUCAGGCGAAGAAAAACAAGAUGAAAGUUGAUGGUAGUGACAGGAAAAAGAAGGGUGGAAGUGGGUUUCAGGUGGGAAAAAAGAAAGUGAAGACCAAGGUAUCUGCUUUGUCUA